GAGUCAUUAGCUCAGUGAACAGAGCGGUUGCCUCCUAAGCAGCAGGUCGUGGGUUUGAGUCCCACAUGACUCA
rnacentral:tRNA from 1 species